rnacentral:rRNA from 1 species
UACGGGGGGGGCAAGCGUUGUUCGGAAUUACUGGGCGUAAAGGGCUCGUAGGCGGCCAACUAAGUCAGACGUGAAAUCCCUCGGCUUAACCGGGGAACUGCGUCUGAUACUGGAUGGCUAGAGGUUGGGAGAGGGAUGCGGAAUUCCUGGUGUAGCGGUGAAAUGCGCAGAUAUCAGGAGGAACACCGGUGGCGAAGGCGGAUCUCUGGGCCUUACCUGACGCUGAGGCACGAAAGCUAGGGGAGCGAACAGG